rnacentral:rRNA from 1 species
GACGAACGCUGGCGGCGUGCUUAACACAUGCAAGUCGAACGGAAAGGCCCUGCUUGCAGGGUACUCGAGUGGCGAACGGGUGAGUAACACGUGGGUGAUCUGCCCUGCACUUCGGGAUAAGCCUGUGAAACUGGGUCUAAUACCGGCUAGGAGCCAUUUUUAGUGUGAUGGUUGGAAAGUUUUUUCGGUGUAGGAUGAGCUCGCGGCCUAUCAGCUUGUUGGUGGGGUAAUGGCCUACCAAGGCGGCGACGGGUAGCCGGCCUGAGAGGGUGGACGGCCACAUUGGGACUGAGGUACGGCCCAGACUCCGACGGGAGGCAGCAGGGGGGAAUAUUGCACAAUGGGCGCAAGCCUGAUGCAGAGACGCCGCGUGGGGGAUGACGGCCUUCGGGUUGUAAACUCCUUUCGCUAGGGACGAAGCUUUUUGUGACGGUACCUAGAGAAGAAGCACCGGCUAACUACGUG